GGAGACAAGAUGGCCUGUAGCUCAAGGGUAGAUUAUCUUCUUUGCAUGCAGAAGGUCCCAGGCUCAAUCCCUGCUAUCUCCA